rnacentral:rRNA from 1 species
GUGAGGAAUAUUGGUCAAUGGGCGAGAGCCUGAACCAGCCAAGUCGCGUGAAGGAAGACGGCCCUACGGGUUGUAAACUUCUUUUGAAAUGGAAUAAAAAGAGUUACGUGUAAUUCAUUGUAUGUACCUUGCGAAUAAGGAUCGGCUAACUCCGUGACAACAGCCGCGGUAAUACGGAGGAUCCGAGCGUUAUCCGGAUUUAUUGGGUUUAAAGGGUGCGUAGGCGGAUUGGAAAUUCAGCGGUGAAAGUUUGCAGCUUAACUGUAAAAUGUCAAUUGAAACUGUCAGCCUUGAGGACAAAUGAGGUAGGCGGAAUGUGUUGGGUAGCGUUGAAAUGCAUAGGUAUAACACAGAACACCAAUUGCGAAGGCAGCUUACUGGGAUGCAACUGACGCUGAUGCACGAAAGCGUGGGGAUCAAACAGGAUUAGAUACCCCAGUAGUCC